rnacentral:rRNA from 1 species
CCUUUUUUUUUCAAAACAUGUCCUGAUGAUUUUAAUUUAUUAGGUCUAGCCUGCUCAAUGAUUAUUUAAAUAGCCGCAGUAUUUUGACUGUGCGAAGGUAGCAUAAUAACUUGUCUUUUAAUUGAAGGCUUGAAUGAAUGGCUGGAUGAGGGAGUAGCUUUCUUUAUAUUAUAAUAUAAAAUUUAAUAUUUAAGUUAAAAAGCUUAAAUAAUUUAGUGGGACGAGAAGACCCUAUAGAAUUUUAUUUUUAAUUUUAUUUUAGUUUUUAGGUUAAUGGAAAUUUUAGAUAAAGUUGAAAAUUUUGUUGGGGUGACAGUGAGAUUUAUAUAACUCUCAUAUUUAAUUUAUUAUUAAUUUAUAUAUUUUGAAUCCUAUAUUAUGGAAAUUAGAUUAAAUUACCUUAGGGAUAACAGCGUAAUUCUUUUGGAGAGUUCUUAUCGAUGAAAGGGUUUGCGACCUCGAUGUUGGAUUAAAAUUAGAUUUAAGUGCAGAAGCUUAAUUUCUAGGUCUGUUCGACCUUUAAAAUUUUACAUGAUUGGUUUUAAAACC